rnacentral:lncRNA from 1 species
GGGCACCACAGUCCAGCGACGGCUGCCUGACAGUCACUUGGCUGGAGAGCGUCAGCAGCGAUCAUGCCGUGCUGCUUUCCCAGGCCUCGAGGCCGCAGCACCAGGACCCCGCGCAGGGAAAGCACUUGGGCGCGAGGCCUCCUUUUCUGCCCUCCACUUCUGGGAGGAGCUGGACUCCCAGGAGGAUCCACCAGCUGAACUCCUGCCCCAGCUGGAGCAAGCUGAGCCCACUGAGGCACAGCCCACGGGACCAGCUGCAGCCCCAGCUGAAGUCCCACGUGCGGAGCCCGAGCCAGCUCCACCUGCAGCUUCCUGCCCAGCGCUGGGACCACAGCCAGAGUCCAUGGCAGCCCCUUCACCUGCUGCAGUGCUGGGGUACCCGGUGGUUGCACGGCGGUCGGUGUCACCUCCUGAGCUCUGCCUGGGGCCAGCUCCUGGCCCCCUCCCACUGUUCCCCUCACUUAUGCUGGCUCUUGUUUUGGUAUUUAUACUUGCCCCUAUUUCUUGGAUUUAUAUAAAUAAUAGAACUAGCUUUUAAUAAAAUUUAAAAUUUUAGUGUUUAAAAGGGUCAGCGUGGUGGCCUGAAGU